GAUGAACGCUGGCGGCGUGCUUAACACAUGCAAGUCGAACGGGAAACUUUUUAUUGAAGCUUCGGCAGAUUUAGCUGGUUUCUAGUGGCGGACGGGUGAGUAACGCGUGGGUAACCUGCCUUAUACAGGGGGAUAACAGUCAGAAAUGACUGCUAAUACCACAUAAGCGCACAGGACCGCAUGGUCCGGUGUGAAAAACUCCGGUGGUAUAAGAUGGACCCGCGUUGGAUUAGCUUGUUGGUGGGGUAACGGCUCACCAAGGCGACGAUCCAUAGCCGGCCUGAGAGGGUGAACGGCCACAUUGGGACUGAGACACGGCCCAGACUCCUACGGGAGGCAGCAGUGGGGAAUAUUGCACAAUGGGGGAAACCCUGAUGCAGCGACGCCGCGUGAAGGAAGAAGUAUCUCGGUAUGUAAACUUCUAUCAGCAGGGAAGAUAGUGACG
rnacentral:rRNA from 1 species